rnacentral:rRNA from 1 species
GAUGAACGCUGGCGGCGUGCCUAACACAUGCAAGUCGAACGGAAAGGCCCUGCUCUUGUGGGGUGCUCGUGUGGCGAACGGGUGAGUAACACGUGAGUAACCUGCCCUUGACUUAGGGAUAACUUUUGGAAAAUGGGGCUAAUACCGGAUAGAAGCUCCUGAUGCACGGUGGGGGUAGGAAAGUGUCGGUGGUUGAGGAUGUACUCGCGGUUUAUCAGCUUGUUGGUGUGGUAGUGGCUUACCAAGGAUAUGACGGGUAGCCGGCCUGAGAGUGUGACCGGCCACAGAGGGACAGGGGUACGACCCGUACGCCUACGGGCGGCAGGAGUGGGGAAUAUUGCACGAUAGGCGGAAGCCGUGUGGAGCGACGCCGCGUGGGAAAUGACGGCCUUCAGGGUGGAAACCACGUUCGCCUGAGUCUAAACAUGUGGGACGUUAAUAGGCAAAGAAGCACCGGCUAACUACGU